UACAGAGGUCUCAAGCGUUGUUCGGAUUCAUUGGGCGUAAAGGGUGCGUAGGUGGCGCGCUAAGUCAGGUGUGAAAUUUCGGAGCUUAACUCCGAAACUGCAUUCGAUACUGCCGUGCUUGAGGACUGGAGAGGAGACUGGAAUUUACGGUGUAGCGGUGAAAUGCGUAGAUAUCGUAAGGAAGACCAGUGGCGAAGGCGGGUCUCUGGACAGUUCCUGACGCUGAGGCACGAAAGCGUGGGGAGCAAACAGG
rnacentral:rRNA from 1 species